GUGUGAGCCGCUUGACGGUAAACAUAACUUCAUCGCUGCUGUAACUGAAGAGCGCGCAGCAGCGCCUCACGCGCCAGGAGCGAGUAUUUGGCCACAAACAAAUAAACAUAGCUCCCAAAAACAGGUAAAGGAGUUUGACUGCAGUUACAUCAGAUGAACACACGGCGGCGGCCGAGUUCCAUCAUUCACCAGAACGAGAGGCAACCUAUGGCACUUGCUCGUCUUCACUGCCGGUGACAUUAUGUGGAAAAAUCAAAGCGAACUGUGUGAUGGAUACGUGGGCCUGGUUAAAAUACCCUCUGCAGAUCCUCAUCGCCAAUUAGAUGGCUGAUAGAUGGCAUUAUCAGUCACGUUAAUGAGCACGGACUGACACGCGUGCCUGCUGUGGUCACCUGGCCUACGUGCCCCCGGUACCAUGCCGCACCACAUUUACCAGUUCCCAUCCAGCUGGGCACGUUAAACAUUGAUAGGCCAAAAAUGUGAUCCUGCUUCCAUGAGGUCUAGUAUAGAACAUUCAGAUCAAC